rnacentral:rRNA from 1 species
AACGUAGGAGGCAAGCGUUAUCCGGAUUUACUGGGCGUAAAGCGCGUGCAGGCGGUCUGGUAAGUCGGACGUGAAAUCUCCUGGCUCAACUAGGAGACGCCGUUCGAUACUGCCGGACUGGAGGGCAGCAGAGGGAGGUGGAAUUCCGGGUGUAGCGGUGAAAUGCGUAGAUAUCCGGAGGAACACCAGUGGCGAAAGCGGCCUCCUGGACUGUCCCUGACGCUAAGACGCGAAAGCUAGGGGAGUGAACGGG